GCGGCGUACGGGUGCGGAACACGUGUGCAACCUGCCUUUAUCAGGGGGAUAGCCUUUCGAAAGGAAGAUUAAUACUCCAUAAUAUAAUUUACGGCAUCGUAGAUUAUUGAAAACUCCGGUGGAUAGAGAUGGGCACGCGCAAGAUUAGAUAGUUGGUGAGGUAACGGCUCACCAAGUCGAUGAUCUUUAGGGGGCCUGAGAGGGUGAUCCCCCACACUGGUACUGAGACACGGACCAGACUCCUACGGGAGGCAGCAGUGAGGAAUAUUGGACAAUGGGUUAGCGCCUGAUCCAGCCAUCCCGCGUGAAGGACGACGGCCCUAUGGGUUGUAAACUUCCUUUGUACAGGGAUAAACCUAUCUACGUGUAGAUAGCUGAAGGUACUGUACGAAUAAGCACCGGCUAACUCCGUGCCAGCAGCCGCGGUAAUACGGAGGGUGCAAGCGUUAUCCGGAUUUAUUGGGUUUAAAGGGUCCGUAGGCGGAUGCGUAAGUCAGUGGUGAAAUCUCACAGCUCAACUGUGAAACUGCCAUUGAUACUGCGUGUCUUGAGUAAGGUAGAAGUAGCUGGAAUAAGUAGUGUAGCGGUGAAAUGCAUAGAUAUUACUUAGAACACCAAUUGCGAAGGCAGGUUACUAUGUCUUAACUGACGCUGAUGGACGAAAGCG
rnacentral:rRNA from 1 species